UACGUAGGUGGCAAGCGUUGUCCGGAUUUACUGGGCGUAAAGAGCGCGCAGGCGGUCGUUCAAGUCGCGUGUGAAAGCCCCCGGCUCAACUGGGGAGGGUCACGCGAUACUGAUCGACUCGAAGGCAGGAGAGGGUAGUGGAAUUCCCGGUGUAGUGGUGAAAUGCGUAGAUAUCAGGAGGAACACCGAUGGCGAAGGCAGCUUCCUGGUCCAAUUCUGACGCUGAGGUGCGAAAGCGUGGGUAGCGAACGGG
rnacentral:rRNA from 1 species